rnacentral:rRNA from 1 species
CCUACGGGCGGCUGCAGUGGGGAAUAUUGGACAAUGGGGGGAACCCUGAUCCAGCCAUGCCGCGUGUGUGAAGAAGGCCCUCGGGUUGUAAAGCACUUUCAGUGAGGAAGAACGCCUGGUGGUUAAUACCCAUCAGGAAAGACAUCACUCACAGAAGAAGCUCCGGCUAACUCCGUGCCAGCAGCCGCGGUAAUACGGAGGGUGCGAGCGUUAAUCGGAAUUACUGGGCGUAAAGCGCGCGUAGGUGGCUUGAUAAGCCGGUUGUGAAAGCCCCGGGCUCAACCUGGGAACGGCAUCCGGAACUGUCAAGCUAGAGUGCAGGAGAGGAAGGUAGAAUUCCCGGUGUAGAGGUGAAAUGCGUAGAGAUCGGGAGGAAUACCAGUGGCGAAGGCGGCCUUCUGGACUGACACUGACACUGAGGUGCGAAAGCGUGGGUAGCAAACAGGAUUAGAUACCCUUGUAGUC